rnacentral:rRNA from 1 species
CCUGGUGGCAAUGGCGAGGGGGAUACACCCGAUCCCAUCCCGAACUCGGAAGUUAAGCCCCUCUGCGCCGUUGAUACUGCAUCUUAAGGUGUGGGAAAGUAGGUCACUGCCAGGA